rnacentral:rRNA from 1 species
CCGACCUGCACGAAUGGCGUAAUGAUGGCCAGGCUGUCUCCACCCGAGACUCAGUGAAAUUGAACUCGCUGUGAAGAUGCAGUGUACCCGCGGCAAGACGGAAAGACCCCGUGAACCUUUACUAUAGCUUGACACUGAACAUUGAGCCUUGAUGUGUAGGAUAGGUGGGAGGCUUUGAAGCGUGGACGCCAGUCUGCGUGGAGCCGACCUUGAAAUACCACCCUUUAAUGUUUGAUGUUCUAACGUGGACCCGUUACCCGGGUUGCGGACAGUGUCUGGUGGGUAGUUUGACUGGGGCGGUCUCCUCCUAAAGAGUAACGGAGGAGCACGAAGGUUGGCUAAUCCUGGUCGGACAUCAGGAGGUUAGUGCAAUGGCAUAAGCCAGCUUGACUGCGAGCGUGACGGCGCGAGCAGGUGCGAAAGCAGGUCAUAGUGAUCCGGUGGUUCUGAAUGGAAGGGCCAUCGCUCAACGGAUAAAAGGUACUCCGGGGAUAACAGGCUGAUACCGCCCAAGAGUUCAUAUCGACGGCGGUGUUUGGCACCUCGAUGUCGGCUCAUCACAUCCUGGGGCUGAAGUAGGUCCCAAGGGUAUGGCUGUUCGCCAUUUAAAGUGGUACGCGAGCUGGGUUUAGAACGUCGUGAGACAGUUCGGUCCCUAUCUGCCGUGGGCGCUGGAGAACUGAGGGGGGCUGCUCCUAGUACGAGAGGACCGGAGUGGACGCAUCACUGGUGUUCGGGUUGUCAUGCCAAUGGCACUGCCCGGUAGCUAAAUGCGGAAGAGAUAAGUGCUGAAAGCAUCUAAGCACGAAACUUGCCCCGA